AUACAGAGGGUGCGAGCGUUAAUCGGAAUUACUGGGCGUAAAGCGCGCGUAGGCGGCUUAUUAAGUCAGAUGUGAAAUCCCCGGGCUCAACCAGGGAACUGCAUCUGAUACUGGUAAGCUAGAGUUUUGGAGAGGGAAGUAGAAUUUCAGGUGUAGCGGUGAAAUGCAUAGAGAUCUGAAGGAAUACCAGUGGCGAAGGCGACUUCCUGGCCAAAAACUGACGCUGAGGUGCGAAAGCGUGGGUAGCAAACGGGAUUAGAAACCCUAGUAGUCC
rnacentral:rRNA from 1 species